AAAUAAACUUGGACUGUUACCAGUGAGAACAGUUCAUAAAAACUUCUGGAGUUGGAUAUGUCUAUCCAAUGUUAUAGUGCAACAGUUCUAGUACAACAGUUAUAGUACAACAGUUAUUAAUAGUACAACUUUUACAGUUAUAGUGCAGCAGUUGUAGUACAACAGUUCCAUGUGGCAUUUGGACAGACUUAAAAGUUGCCACAACAAAGUUUUUUAAUAACAGACACAGUCCUAUGAUGUUACCAUGAUGUGUCAUUAAUUUCAUAUCUGACAAUCUUGACUGGUGCUUGCAACAUCUACAUAGAUUUCAAGGUCCAUAGUGUGUUCAAUCUUGUUUAUUGAUCCAUGUAUUGAUGUUAUCUAAUUAUUUAUAUGUUUAUUUGAGAGAUGUUAUAUUUAAAAAAAAAUAAAAGUUU
rnacentral:misc_RNA from 1 species